rnacentral:misc_RNA from 1 species
CGGCUUCAUCGGAAGUCACCUCUGCGAGAAGCUCAUGCUCGACACCGCCCACACCGUCCUCGCCGUCGACGUCUACAAUGACAAGAUCAAGUACCUCCUCGACAGCCCCCCGGACGCGCCCCACCCCUGGGCCGGCCGGAUCCACUUCCACCGCCUCAACAUUAAGAACGACCCCCGCCUCGAAGGCCUCAUCAAGAUGUCCGAUCUG